UACGGAGGAUGCAAGCGUUAUCCGGAUUCAUUGGGUUUAAAGGGUGCGUAGGCGGACUAUUAAGUCAGUGGUGAAAGCCUGCAGCUUAACUGCAGAACUGCCAUUGAUACUGAUAGUCUUGAGUUUGGUUAAGGUAGGCGGAAUGUGUAAUGUAGCGGUGAAAUGCUUAGAUAUUACACAGAACACCAAUUGCGUAGGCAGCUUACUGAGCCGACACUGACGCUGAGUCACGAAAGCGUGGGGAUCGAACA
rnacentral:rRNA from 1 species